rnacentral:rRNA from 1 species
UGGGGAAUCUUAGACAAUGGGGGAAACCCUGAUCUAGCCAUGCCGCGUGAGCGAUGAAGGCCUUAGGGUUGUAAAGCUCUUUCAGCUGGGAAGAUAAUGACGGUACCAGCAGAAGAAGCCCCGGCUAACUCCGUGCCAGCAGCCGCGGUAAUACGGAGGGGGCUAGCGUUGUUCGGAAUUACUGGGCGUAAAGCGCACGUAGGCGGAUUAGUCAGUCAGAGGUGAAAUCCCAGGGCUCAACCCUGGAACUGCCUUUGAUACUGCUAGUCUUGAGGUCGAGAGAGGUGAGUGGAAUUCCCGAGUGUAGAGGUGAAAUUCGUAGAUAUUCGGAGGAACACCAGUGGCGAAGGCGGCUCACUGGCUCGAUACUGACGCUGAGGUGCGAAAGCGUGGGGNGCAAACAGGAUUAGAUACCCUGGUAGUCCACGCCGUAAACGAUG